rnacentral:lncRNA from 1 species
AUGGGAAUCCAAGGCACUGUCACCACCACACCCCUCUCCCAGGGCUGCUGGCUCUGCAGGUGCCACAGCUCUGCUCACAGCUGGCAGGAAACCCACCCACUGGACUGAGCUUCCCUGGCCUGGGACUCUCUCAGGUACUGGGGCGACCUUCAGUGGGUGGGCAGGGGUAAUGACAGGUCUCCUCUGUGGUCUCUGAUAACCAUCACACAGAGGCCAACAUGAUGGAGGGUGAGAAAUGCUCCCAGGUCACACCGCCUGGCACAGCAGGGCUGGAGGGCAAGAGUCAGGGACGUCUGGUCACACAGACUGGCUUGCCAUCUGGGAUGAGGGAACACCAGUGAGAAAUGGGCCCCAGGGUCCCUUACUGAAACACACUAUAUCUCCACGUUGCCUUUCUGCACUGAAGCCCCACGAGGUCCCGCUUCCCUGGGACCCACCUCGAGGCUCUGCAGGUAAAGGGGCCACAGGGUCAGUGACUUUUACCCAGGGCACGGCUGCAGAUUGUCCCCAGGUUACACUGGGGAGUGUCAGAGGUGUCAGUCUCUGGAGGGCUGACUCUGCUGCUUGGGUCCUGGGGUGAGGCAGACUCUCCUUACCUCCUUACCUCUCAGGACUCUGUCUCCCUGUUUGCAAAAUGGAAAAACCAAGUCUCAAUCUAGAGGAUUGUUCGGAAAAUUGAGAUAACAGUUGUUGGUUGUCAACAUCCCAUGAUUCCUUCAUUAAUGAAUGAGCUUUUACACAUCACCAACUUACUCUGAAUAGGGAUCAAGUCUUUAACUUUGGAAAAUCAUAAUUUAUAUAUAAAAUUAAUGAUUACACAGGAAUAUAAAAGCCCACGCUACACACACUGUGGGUGAAUCUCAAAGACAUUAAGUUGUUUAAAGACACUGAACACCAAAGAGCACCUACUGUGUGAGUCCAUCAAUGUGAAGAACAAGAAUGGGCCAAAUUGAUGUAUGGAUUUGGAGGUCAGAGCAGGGGUGACCUGCAGUGGGUGGGCAGGGGUGAUGACUGGGACAAUGAGAUGAUGGACAUAUUUCGUCCUAUGACGAUAUUGCUGAUGGUUACAUGGGGACAGACCUCUGUUAAAAAAAAAAAUCAAGAUGUACAUUUAAGCUGUGUUCACUUUUCUCUAUGAAAGUUAUACCUCAAUUUAAAAAAAAAACAUUUUUUAAAAUAGUAAAGGGUGAUCUGUUAUCCUCCCAGUAACAGCCUGAACCACUACAAGGUCCCCAGGGCUUGCACCCCACAGCUGGGUGCAGGGGAGGUGAGGGAAACGGACACCUCUGAGGCUGGUACCACAGGGCAGCUGCUGAAGGUGCUCCCUGGCCGUAGUCUCCAGGGCCGUGGUGGAUAGCACACUUUGUCACUGUAACAAUGUCAUCAAAGUGGCUGAGGGCAAAAAUAACCCUGCGUCCAGACAGCUGGGAGCAGAUGGAAGCUUCUCAUUUUAAAGCGCAGCAAAAUGUGUUUUAAAGAAGCCCUGAAGAGCUGUACAAGGGAAGUCUGUCAAAAGUCAUCGCGGGCAUCCGUCUCUGAAAUGGCCCUAUCAGCAACAUCUUUUGUACAAAAUCAAAUCAAAACAGAAUCUUUGUCUAGAAAGGAAAUUUCAGCAGAGUCUUAGGAGUCCUUCACGUUGGCAGGCAUCCACCCUCGACUGCCCUGGAACACCUGAACUGUGGGUAUCCAGCCUCUCUUCCCAACAAUGAAGCUCCUCCUCGUUUCUCAAUAUUUAUAAGGAUGCUUUCUUAGACAAUGGACCCCACAUACGAUGACCUAAGUGAUGUUGUAGGUGUCCUGGUUUGUGUAGGUCUGCUAUGAUGCUUGAAUGAGGAAGAAAUCGUCUUCACUGAACAUUUCUUGGAAUGUAUCUCCACCUUUAAGCAAUGCAUGACUCUAACUGGAAUUUACUGGUCUUCCUCCUCACAGCCACCCAGUGAGGGAGCACUCUUACUGCCCCAUUUCACAGAUGAGGGGGCUGAGGCUUAGAACUCACAGCUGGUGAGGGGAAAGCCAGCCUUCCAAUUCAGUUAAGCUUCUGCGAGACCACGGAGAGGCAACCCCACCCUGGACAGUUCCAAUACUUAGGAACAUUGUCCUCACAAUGAGGACAUCUGCCUUUUAUAUCCCCACCUCUGCCAAGUUGUUCUGCUUUGACUGCUUGGAACCAUACAGAGCAUUUAUUUUUCUCUUACAUGUAAGAAACUUCCAGCUAUUUGAAAGAGCUCUCCACAUCCCUCUGAUUCUUACCUUUUACAUAGAAAACACGGAUAGCUUUUCAAGUGACCAACUGUCGAGAUUUGCCAGGGACUGAGGGAUUUUCUGAAGGGCUUCUAGUGCUAAAAAGGGGACAGUCCCAGCAAACUGGAUGAGCCGGCCACCCUCCUUUUCAUUGUGUGCUAGUGAUGUUACCUGAUGUGUAGAUUUUUCUCUUCUUAUGAGACUUGCUUUGCACAAUGGCCAUAUGAGUCAAAACUUAUUUUGCAAUUGUAGAAACUACCUCAUCUGGCUUAAGAUAAAGGGGAAUUUGCUGGGUGCACUGGUGUACGACUGUAAGCCUAGUGGCUCAGGAGGCUGAGACAGGAAGAUGGAGAGUUGAAAGCCAGCCUCAGCAAAAACAAAGUGCUUUCCAAGAAAUGUUCAGUGAGACCCUGUCUCUAAAUAAAACACAAAAUAGGGCUGGGGAUGUGGCUCAGUGGUAGAGUGUCCCUGAGUUCAGUCCCGAGUAGAUACACACACACACACACACACACACAGAGAGAGAGAGAGAGAGAGAGAGAGAGAAAGGAAGAAAAGAAAAAAGGGAAUUCAAGGGCUCAUGGAAUAAAGCAUCCGAGAGUACCCUCACAUGGCAUGCCAUGUCUCACCAUCCGUCUUUGUUUAUGCCAUCCCGCCAAUAUGCUUGGAGGAAACCUCCCAGUUUUCAAAGGCCACUCCCUGCAAAAGACAUAUCCACCAAACCCCAGGCCGACAAUGCUUCUCUUCAUGUCACUCAUCACCGUGAUAUAGACUCUCAUGAGGACAGCAGUCAGUCUCCAAUAGUCACUCAUUACAUAACCAUCUCGCCAUCAGACUAGGCGUCCCUGAGAAGUGGGGUCCCCAUCUUGUAAUCUUCUUUUCCUUCUCCUUUCAUCCCAUCCCUCGCAGAGUUCUUGGCGUUUGUGGAAUGAACAGCAGUUUUCUUAUUUUCUCAUUGCCACCCAAUCGCCUCCACUCCUCUUGUCCUCAGCGACAGAAGUGCGAUUUUAUUCAGCGUGGCAGCACACCAGCUAGAAAGCAACAUCCCCUGGCUUCUCGUACGGUUGGGUAAAGCCAGAGGCUAACUCUUGGCGGAGGAGAUGGAAGGAGAAGUGUCAUGGGGAACUUCUUGGAAAGUUGUUUCAAGGAGCUGAGUCACGAGGGAGGAAGAGCAGACCCCCUGCUGCCUGCUAGGAAUGGGGACCUGGUGUUGGACCUGCACACCCUUCCUGAACGAUGACUCAUCCUGAGGAUGGAACAUUCCAUGGAGACAGCAGUUCAGCUAGACAAGGAGUUGGCUCCUUGAAGGAGGUGUGGGUUGUAUUUUUUUCUGCUGUGUGCACCACACACAGCUGAUUCAGUUGAAGCUACCUUGUUCACCUGCUGUGACUACAGCUCAGUCGGGUUCCUACUGAGUAAUGAGGGAUUAAUACAUCUUUAAAAUCUAACCUAAAAGACAAACCACAAGUGGGUGUCUGUAGGAUGCCUUCUAAUUUAAAGAGUAUUAGAAAACUGUGAGAGAAAUGGGUGACGGGCUCCAGGGAAGGUUAGUGGCAGCUCUGACUCAUCACAACCCGAGGGAAGACCUGUGCUCCUUCAGUGGGAGGCCUCUGGUCUCUUGGCUAGGGCUGAAGUUAAAAAUGGACCCUAGUCAUAGUCUGAAGGCAGUGAAAAGGAGGCAUCCUGAGGAAAGCUUGUGACUGCUUCAGAGGCCCCUUCUCAAGGGAGGUCCUCGUACGAGCUCCAUGUAGAAGGGGAAAGAGACUUCUCUGUCACCCAGAAGAAGAGUACAUAGGGAAAUUGGAGAGCUCAAAAUCCUCACGUUCACCCACCCAAAUGCCCCCAUCCCAGGUCUCUUAACCACUCUCUUUACCUGUCCUUAGCCCAGACUUCAAUGGGAGAAACCUGUCAAGAUUACACAUAGCUUCCUUCGAAACUCUGUGUUUUUAAAUAAUCAGAUUCUAGGUCCAAUACUCAGCAGCCUUCCCCAUGACUGUAGUCGAUCAUAUUCUCCUUUAAAACUGUCCUGGAGACAGUCUGGUUUAAUAGCAGCAUUACAUUGGCAAUUACCAUCUUCUCUUUCUCAUCGCUAAAGCCUUAUAUGUCAUCAGAAGUGGCUACUUCAUACCGUAGUCCUCACAAUUAUCACCACUUCCACACUUGUCAGGUGUGGUUGCCUGGCCUUGCAUUCACCUGUUCCACGUUACGGUUAAACGGAGGUGAGGUUUUAGCAAUAGUAGUUUUUGUCUGUGUGUAGAGUAUAACAAUGGUAUUUAGAGUGAUGAGUAGAGUUUGCCUUGCCUCUAGACUUCUGAGAAACUCAACUCAAAACUUUAACUUGAGGUUCCAUUUUCUUCAAUUACUUCUCAAACCAAUUGUUUUAGCCUGGAUUUCCUAGAAACGGGUAGACACCAGUAGGAGAUCAGAUUGAGGGAAAGACUGAGGCUAAGUUUAAUUGAAUGUAUAUUAUCCCAGGAAAGGAAGAGAGGCAGGGAAGAAAAUCAAGCAAAUACAAGCUAGCUAUAUCUUCUCAAAAACACACGGUUGGUGGCUUGGUCAUGAGGGAGAUCUUUGGAAAGGUUAUAUAGAAUUGCUGCAUGAGGGGAGAAAGAACAAGGAAUUUUUUUUUUUCAGACUUCCCAUCUCAUGUCUCCAAAUCCAACCCACACUGGACCUAACUCACUUUGCUAUCCACUCUUAGGUAUCCUCUAGGGAAGGGAGAGUCGGGUGGUGUGCUUGGCUUGGGGUUGGUUCAUAGAGGAGUUUCAGCUUAUUCGAGGAGAGAUCUGAUUGCAUGAGAGAAGACUGAGAUAAUGACAAUGUGAAGACAUGACACUGUGACCUCAGGGGCCUUAAACCAUAGAAAUGGCAUGAGCUGGGAGCAUCUUGGAAAGAGUCCCAGGGACCCUCUAGUAGUGCAUAAACGAGGCCGGUGUGCCUGUGUGUUCAUUGUUCUCCGUUGGCCUCUCCACACACCACACACACAUUUGCCUUUUUUCCUCCCCUCUAUGCCUGAGAGGCUGUCCCAAAGACUCUAUUAACUUGUGUCUUUCCUGUUGUUUCUGGUUGGAUUCAGCCAGUGAUGACACCAGCAGGAGAUCAGAAAAUGGAGAAAGAGUCACCAAAAGAUUUCUUCUCUCACUCCCUUCCUGACCGCACUGUGACUCCAGCAUGGGCCACAUCUUUCUGUGCCUGCUGGACGGCACUUCUUCCAGAUCCCACUCACACUGGCUCUCCUUCCUACCUGUACAGACCUAGGCUGGCCAUGGCUUCCUCCUGUCACAGUACUUGGACAUCCCUUGAUGGUACCGUGUCCCAGAAGAGACCUCUGUAAAUAGGCCCUUCAUUGCUUGCCCCCAGAGUCCCAGCUGGGGGCCCUCUUGUUUUCCUACCAAGGCUACAUUUUCCUUGUUCAUUUUUUAAAAUUUUUAAACAUUUUAAAAAUAUUUUUUUAUUUGUUUUAAUUAGUUACACAUGACAGUACAAUGACCUUGACAUUUCAUAUAUUUGAAUCACAUGGGAUACAAUAUCUAAUUUUUCUGAGUAUACAGGUUGCAGAAUCACUUUGGUCAUGCAUUCACAUAUAUACACACAGUAAUAACAGUGUCUGUUUCAUUCUACUAUCCUUGUUCAUUUCAUUCUGUUGUUUUUUCAAUUCUUUUUUGAGUACUUUAAUUUUAAGAAGCACUCUUAUUAAGCUAUGACAUUUCCUUCUCUUCUGUAAGUAAUUCUUUUUAGCAAAGUGGGAUCUUUGACUCCUGUGUGCUGUGAACUUCACAACUGCACUUUUUUGUACCCCCUUUCUGCUUAGUCAUGGCAUCAUGUCUUCCCAUCUGGCCCCGGCCCAAGCUGCUCUCUGCAGAUGUUCUAUUUCUCCUGCCACCAAGGGGCUGCUUUAUUGAUUCUGCCCUCAUGGCAUCAGAAUGCAGUUAAGUUUCCUCUUAAGGUAACUGUAAAAGAAUGUAUGUUUGGUCAUGUGUCCAUUUUUCAAAAGCAGAAAGAAUGCCCGAGAUGCAUACAUAUCCAUGUAUUCAUGCACACGCGCACACACACACACACACCACACACCACACACACACACACACACACCAAACACAUACACACACAGGCACAUACAUAAAUACACUGUAGAGGGUGUCAUAAUUGCUGGUUGGCUGUCAUUGAACCUGAGGUUUUCGGUCUGUCCUUGAUAUUUUGUUGUUGCUCCACCUGUUUAGGGCACACAUUCUAAGGCUUUCAAGAGGUACUCUUGGAUUUCAAAGUUCUCUCCAAAUCACAAAUGUGGAAGCAUUUACAAAUUAUUCAACUUAUGUUCUUGCAAGGACCCUUGCAGCUAUGCUUGCUGGCUUGCUUAUUUAUUUAUUUAUGGCAGGAGUAUUAGUUUUUGAUUGCUGCUAUAACAAAAUACUACAAAUGUAGUGGCUUAAAACAACAGAAAUUUAUCAUCUUGCUGUUCUGGGAAUCUAAAAAUAUAGGGCUACAUUUCUCUGGAAGCUCUGGAAGACUGAAAAAAUUCAAAUAGCAUCCCCUCUCCCAAAUUCUUUUCCAUCCAGAACCUCAAAAUACGGCCUUAUUUGGAAAUGGGGAAUUGAAGAUAUACUUAGUUAAAAGUUGAACUGAGAUGAAGUCAUACUGAGUUGGCCUUAGAAGAUACAGAUACAUAAACAGAAAGAGAAGAUAGUUAUGUGAAGUUGAAGGCAGAAAUUGGAGUGAUGCAGCUGCAGAAUGAGGAAGGCCAAGGACUGCUGGCAACAGAGGAACCCAGGAAAAGGCCAGCGGGGAUUAUCCUCUAGAUCCCUUAGAGGGAGCAUGGCCCCAGUGAACCCUUGACUUUAGACUUCUAGGCCCCAAAUUGUGAGAAAAUAAAUUUUUGUGUGAAACUGCCCUCUUCAUGGUACUUUGUUGGGGUAUCCAUAGUAAAUAAAUAGAGGGGCAAGCCAUUUCCUUACCCUUUCCAGCUUCUGGAGGCUGCCCACACUCCUGGGCUUGUGGCCUCACAUUACUCCAGUCUCUACCCCAUUGUCAGAUUGCGACUGGUUUGAUGACCUUUCAUAAGGACCUUUGUGAUUAUGUUGGGCCCACCCAGAUGAUCUUGCUGACACCAGAUCUUCAAUUUAAUCACAUCUGAUGUGUCCUUUUUAUAUAAGGCAACAUACAGGUUUCGAGAUUAGGACAUGGACAUUUGGUGGGAGGGGGGAGAUGAGAGGGAAUUAUUCUGCCUAACAAAGCUGGUUGGCUCCUUGAAGCUUGAGCUAUGCCAACAGCCUCUAGUACAUCAACAGCAAAUUUUUAAAAAAUCCCUGGCCUUAUAAUAAAGAAAGUGUCAGAGGCUUACAGAAAUGGGGGUGUUAACUGCAUAAGCCUUGAGAACCUACCACCUGACUGUGUGUCCUGAAGGGGUUCAGAGGACACCUUCUUCAUGAAGGAAGCAGGGACAAGGAAUCUCCAUGGUAGCUGCUCCUCUGCAGGGUAAGGUUGACAGCUGAGAUGCCAUCACAGAACUGGGUUUGCUAACAUCGACGGGGAUGAUGGGUUCCCUGAAGCAGUGACCACGAGGCAGCACUUAACCUUUGCAGGAAAGAUGAACUUAAUUGCUUAUUUACUCUAGUGGCAGGGCGGGUGAUCAGAGUGCCUUGACCCACAAUAUUUGUUGUCCCUGGCUAAGAGAGGAUGGUGGUUUUAUGGGCAAGAUAGAUAUAUUGCUUGCUAUGUAUAAUAAUAAAUAGCACACCAGAAAUAUCACUUACUAUUUAUAAUAAUAAAUAAUUGAGAGCUGGAAAGCAGAAGGCUGAGGUCAGCCACCUUGAUGGAAACCUGAGGUCCCUAUUAUGUUUCUAAACUUAGUUACAGAUAAAGCUUAAUUGAUCAAAGAGGAAAUCAGGCUCCUUUGAGGGAGGACCCUGAAAAGUCAACAUAAGUAUAUAGUAUAAAUAUUCUCCCAAUACUUCCUCAGAGGAUUGUGUACUGGGGUAAGGAGAAUGCCCAGAUCAUUGGGAGAUUGCUGCAUACAAAGCCUAAGCAGACCCUGAUAAUUCGGGGCUCCUGCGACACUACAAUUAAAAUGUCAUUCUGGCCCACCCACUGUCAGGGUGGGUGUGGAUGGAAGAUAGGUUGUAAGCAGAUCCUGGAUUAGAUCCAUUUCACCAUGGGCCCAGUGGAUCUUACCAUGGUAAUGCGACCAGUGCUUGAGGUCCCAGCAGUUAAGAAUAUUCUUGGAAAUGAGAAGACACGUAGCUUUCUCAACCUAUGAGAAAGAGAAAAAGAAAGAAUCAUGGUAGAAAUGACCAAGAAACUUGGGGUGUUUCCUUCCUGUGUACCAACCAUGCAAAUUCACACUCUCUCAUCUGUUUAUCUUAUCCCUUGCAAAUCUCUCUAUUCUCUCCAUGUGUUCUGAGAGUUUGCUAACUAGUAAUUGUUUGGAUAGAUAGAGAUUAGCAGAUACUGAAGAUGCUCUCAUUUCAACAGCCAUUUCAGUGCCCUGUCUCUUGUCUUAUACUACUGUAGAUUCUGGGAAAAGCUCACACUCAAAGAGGACUUGACAUAUGAUCCAGCUCUGACCAGGGACAAGAAGACAGAAGGCCCUGGGUAGAACCUGCCUCUCCUAGAAAAGCUCUUAUGUCCUUGUCUCCCUUCUUCCUGCCUGAAACCAAGACACCAUACUAGAGAUACAGCAGUCACUGUGAGCCCAUGAAAAGGAGAGCCACAAAUUAAAGAAGGCAGAACAGUCACAGAGAAGGAACCUGGUACCUGGAGGGCAUUUUUGAGCCCUUGUACCUAUUCUUGGACUUUGCAGAAGGUGAAUUGCAUGUAGGACUAGCCAUUACUCACAGCUGAACACAAUCCUAACAGCAACUGGGAUUGUCUGUGCCUGUUCCAAAUUCAUCCCUUUCAAGCCUCAGGGGUCUCUUUUCUUUUCUACUGAGUAGGGAAAAGUUUAAUGAGCAAAUCCAUAUUCUGUCCUACAAAGCACAACCAUGUCCAAGGUAUUAAAAAAUGUUACUCCUUCCUUAACUCCGUUUUUAACUUUUCUCUAGAUAUGGAGAAAGACUGAGUGUUUAUAUAUUUAAGGGGAAAGAAAAAAAACUUAGUAGUUGCUUUUUUCAUAGUACAUGAUUAACUCAGCAGCAGAGUUAGCUCAUCAACAUGUAUUGGUGGAAACAUUUUAUAUACUAGCCUAGUAUUUGAUUUAUUUAUUUUUGCAGUAGUGGAGAUGGAACCCCAGCCCACUAGCCACCUAAUCUUGAAUACACCACAUAAUCCUCUGGUUCCCAGUUUCAUCUCCUGUAAUUUAGGAAGCAAACAUGGAUGAGCAGUUUGCCAGGUGGGUAGGAGGACUAAAUUGAAAGAGUAAACCCUCAGGAAAGGGCCCCAGAAUCCAUAAGUCUCCUGAGGAAGAGCCCUGUGGUCUCACUUCUUCCAGAUCUGUUUCCUCUAGGUUAGGGAACUGGUCUCAGUCUGGCUCCUCCCCAGUGUCACCUUGACCAGCAUAGGAUCCAGGCCAGAGCAAUUUGGGGGCUUGAUGACUGGAUGAUCAAAAGGAUCACCAAAUAAACUGGCAGAAAGAAAGACCACAAGACUACAGGUGACUUGCCACAAGUGAGCAUAUUCCACGUUGGUCCCUGGCCCCAAGGAAAAGUCUUUCAUGCCUUAGAAGCCUCAGACUCCCCUUUCUCAGAAUCACUUUUCUUUAAACAUGGCUGCUAGGGAAAUGCACAGGAAACCAAGAACUUAACAACAAAAGGGCUAUAGGCAGGACUCAGGCCUCACAGCCUCUUUCCACCAAGACCUGCAGGGAGGCUUUUUACAGCAGAUCGUGGAGCACAGGGGGGGCAAUGGACCCAGGCUUGUUGGCACCUCACCUCGGCCUUCAGACCUUUGAAGAUAAAUGAAGUGAACUGGACGUCUCAGAACAGGAUGUCAGCAGAAAGCAGAAGCCCUCUCAGCCUGGGACCAGGUGUGAGCAUGGUGUGGUGCAUACCUGUGUAUGCGCAUGUUGGGCUCCUGUGCAUGCUGGGUACAGCGCAGUGUGCCAGCAUCUCAUGUGCAUUGAGAGCUAGGGAAGUAUCCUUGUGGUGGUCCUUUUCUGAGCCCUGCUUUGUGACUGGCUUCCUGCAUCACCUCAGUAACCUCUUCAAUUGGAUGCAGGGGUUUAAUCACCUUUUUUGUUUAUAGGCAAACUGAGGAGGCCUGAGGAUCCCAGGUUCCUGAGGCUGGACGCAGAGUUGCAAAUCAGCCAUUCAAAUACAGCCCCCAGCCAGGAGAAGGGACUGCAGGCAGGAAGGCGGUGUCCUCGCCAAGGCCCGACUGGCAUUUAUUGGGUGCAGGUUGUAAGAAGCCCCUGUGUCAGUGGUCCUCCUUUGUGGUCUCCUCCUUAGGGCACUCCGGUUGGACCAGGAUCAUCAUCCUACUUUAGAAUCCGGAAAUCAUAGUUCGGAGAUGCCGCAUACCCCAUCCCAAGUCCACAGACAGAAAUGGGAUGGGGCAGAAUUGAGCCCAGGCCAGUUUGAUGAUUGGGUUCUUCCCCUCAGUUAGGGUGCCAGGCAUAGGUUCCACAUGGGACCCCACCUGUGAGGAGCCAUCUCUUCAGUAUCAGAAGUAACUUAUACCCUCCCCCAACUCUUAGGAGCACUAAGAAGACCUAACUGGAUCCUGAGAGUGAAACUAGGAUAAAACCAAGCCAUCAGUCCCUCGAUGAAAUGGAUCCAUCACUCCAGGACCCAAUGCCAAGGCCACUGCGGGUCCUGACUUCACACCCCAGGGCCAAGAAAGAGCUGCAUACUAAGCCCCAGGUGUGCCCAUGUUAGGACAGGGUGAAUUUUCCCUGCCAUGGGCUUGAAUAAGCAGAUGGAGCCUGUGUUUUGGAACAGGGCUCUUAUUCCACCAGGGACUUGAAGAGGUGACUCAGCAGUAAACUGCUGGGAAAGGCAAAGUCAGGGCAGAUGAGGAGACACGCAAGCUGUGCCUCUGCGUUUGGGGUGCUGUGCUAUCUGAGACAAGUCCCUGCCCCUCUCUGGACCUCAGUACCUCCUCAUCUACCCCAGAAAUGUCUGAACUGCUUCAGCUGGGACAAUCUAGGACUGCCAGGAAUAGACUAGCAUCUGGCCAUGGGGAACAAAUCAGUGUAAAGGGAAACCCAGUUGUGCAGCAAUAGUGUAAAAGAACCCACAGUGUUCUCAGAUGUGGAGAGAGACAACCCGCCCAAAUUGUUAUAGUAUGGGUCUGAACCUUGAGCAGCACUUAGAUUUCCCCUCCAUCAUGGUCUGAAUUAUUUCCAGAAUCCCCUUGCAGAACAGUGCUGAACAUGGCUGUGUGCAUUACUAGACACGGAACUGGAGUGGCUUCAGAUAGACCAUGUCCUUGCUGGGGUGUACAGGCAGCUCUGUGCCCUCCUUUGUCUUGGCUCUUGAUGACAACUGGGCAUUUGAGUGUGGUCUCCAAAUCAGACUCUCAAUUUCUCUUGCAGAACGCUUACCCACGCCUGCGCUUCCUCCUGUCCCUCCUGGCCAGGCAGGCAAGCUCAGGGGAGGCUGUAAUUUGUGGGCUGCCCUUUCAUUGCAGCAGGAGCCACAGGGACGCCUGCGUCCUCCCUGGCCCUGGCUGCUACGCCCAGCAGCUGGGCUGCCCGGCCGCGAGGCCAGCGGAGCGAGCGGGAUCCUCUCCCAUGCAUUAUUCACGCCAGUGCUUCCCUUUCUAUUUUUAAUGUUCAGCGCGUAGCGGUUCCCUCCGCCUGCUAUUUUUAGCAUCAUUGCUGCCAGCUGACAGCAGAGACAAAGGCUCAGAGGCACCUUGAGAAUGACAAAUGGCGAUUUCAACGACGAAAAUAGAAAGGCUAUUUUUCUUUUUGGAAUGAAAGGGAAGAAAAUGUCUAUAGUUGCAAAGUUGCUGGGGCUCGAACAGAAUUUAUAAUUUAGAACACACACACUGCCACACACAUACAGGGUUUCCUGACACUUACACACACACACACACACACACACACACACACACACACACCCUUUAUGGCAAUCAAACGUGCUCUCCUUUGUGACAUUUUCUCUGAUGCUCCCCCUCCCCCUGAUGAGCCCCCCUCUGUCUGGACUUAGCAGCUUCAUUAUUGUUAGUCUCACGUGGCACUGUGAAUGCGUGCUGCCCUCCAGUCUGUGAACUCCAGAGCACAAGGACCUAUUGUUAGAUCUCCAUUCAGAAGCAAGCAGCCCCGGCCAUCCUGGGAGCUCACAGCUGGGUGGCAUCAUUCUCUUGACAUCUCAGAUAAAGCUGCUGUGGGUCCAUGAGAAAGUGAUAAGGAAAAUUCACUCUGUUAUUUGUAUUAGAAAAAAAUAAAAAGUUUCCGUGAAUCCCAAAAAUGAUCAAAUACCCUCCAUUUCUGGCUAGAAUGACAGGGACGUCUGAGCCAAUCACAGAGAACUGACUGGUAGAGAAACCCACGGAACUAAAGGGUCCAGAUGUGAGUGAAGAAUAAGAUGAAAAGCCAAUGGCAUGAGUAAGGCGCCCUGAUGUGACCCAAAGGCCUGGGCACCUCACUCCAUGCACCAGACUGCCAGCCCUGGGGGCAGCUGACUAGAGCACAUCUCUGCGUGGUCCCUAUAUUGGAUAUCUAGCUCCAUCUCGCAGGAGUUGGUGAGGUUGGUGGUAUCACUUCCAUAAAUUUUUGAGAAGUUAAGUAAUACCCCAGAUCACCCAGGUCUUGAGGGGUAGAGAAGGAACUGCCCCAGGUCUGGCUGUGUUCCGUAUUGCAUGUAUGUUGUGUGUGUGGUGUGCGUGUGUGCGUGAGUGCACAUGUGCACAUGUGGAAAAUGGGUGUGUAAAUUUACACUCUAAAGUAGUCUUUAAACUCCUCUUAGAAAUUUGAAGUUUGGGACUCGACCUGACUGAAAGGUGCCAAGAAGAAUUCUGCCAUGUAAAACUGUAUGUAAUGCAGUCACUGCUGGUGGCCCUGUAUCAGACCAUUCCAGCUAUUUGUACGUGUCCUCCCUACCAGUGCCUCAUUCAGGAACAAAUACUUGACCUGAUUCUAGGAACAGAGAAUGGGAAGGAAGCCUUUCGUGGGUCCUCUGGGACAUGGUUUCCUCUCCCUCGCCCCUGGAAGAGCUGCUCUUCCUCCUCUCCGUGUCACUUUGAUGAGAAGUGACCAGAGUAGUGUUGUAGCCCUAGGAUGAGGGUAGCCCUGAGCAUGGCAGAACCGACUUCCUGUUAUAGGAGACAAGGCUUCUGCGCUGACUAGGCCAGUGGAGACAGGAGCUCCUCUCCUUGCCUGUAACUCACGCAUCUCUUACUCAUGCCCCUGUUGCUUUGAGCCUUCCUCAGACGAUUUUAGCCUAAAACAUCGUCCACACUGUUUCCUUUCUUCUGAUUCUGUAAUAUUCCACAUGGCACUAUUUAUAACCUAAAAUCGCAUUACUCAUUGAAUUACUUAGAUUUCAUUGUCUGUUUCCAUAACAGAAAGGGUUUAGUCAAUUUUUUUGUCAUCGUGACCAAAAUACCUGGCAUGAACCAGGUGGAAGAAGGAAGGUUUAUUUUGGAUCAUGGUUUCUCAGUUUUCACCCACAGUCAGCCAGCUCCAUUGCUCUGGACCUAAGGUGAGGCCAAACAACUUGGUGGAAGGGUGUGGAGGAGGAAAACUGUUCUUCUCAUGGCAUUUAGGAAGCAGAGAGAGAGAGGGAAGGGCUAGGGAGAGGACGAAUCUUUCCAGGGUGAGCCUUCAGGGACGUACUUCCCCAAAGAUGCUCUACCUCCGCAUAGUCCACUCAGCCACCAGUAAAUUAGUCCACCAAAGAGGUCAGAGCGGUCAUGAUCCAAUCCCUACCCCUAAACCCCACCUCUGAACACAUGAAACUUUGGAGGACAUUCUGGAUAUGAACCAUAAUAGAAGGUUCAUAUCCAGAAUGUCAGGGAAAAUCUGCCUGGUUCAUCAGGCCAUCAUCACCAUCCUGAACAGGGCCUGGCACAGAGAAGAUACUUGAAAGAACAUUUGUGGGAAAGUAGAAUAUAUAUAAGGGUGUUUGAAUAGGAGAAAGCCAGAGGAGUCUACUCACAAGCCUCCACCAAAAUUCAGCCUCUACAGUCUCUGUUCUUCAGGUGCAUAUUUGUGGGUAUGGAGAGAUGGGAUGACCUUUGUAGUCAUCCCAGGUGUCAAGGUCAAGUAGUUAUGAAUCCAAGGUCCUUGGUCUUAGUUAGUGGGGUGAACUUCCUGCGUGGGAUGGGGCAGUGUUGGCCCCUGAGAAGUGUGUGGUUUGUGUCCUGUACAUGAGCUACUAGAAUGAUGGGGAGACACUAAUGGAUGGUCCCAUAUGUCCUGCAUGGUCCCCAGCAAACGUGGAUUCAUGGGGGAGUGGGUUUAGUUUGACCAAGAGGAAUGGGUUUAGUUAGAAUAGAGAAACCUGGAAGAAGACAGGUCUGAAAACUUCCCAGGAACUAGUGAAUGGGGAGUCUGGGGGCUCAGAGGAAGGAAGGGUAUUUCCAGGGCAGAAUGUGUUCCCUUUGGUUUUCCACUCACAGCUACAGGAGUCACAAGCCAGACACUAGCAUGUGCAAUUUUAUACAAAUGGAAUCAUCUGAGUGAGCACAGGAAGAGCUGAAGACUGUGUGAGAGGCCACCUAUGGCAGAUUUCUUCCAGGUCUGAGGGUUUCUUUGUCAUUACUUUCUCCAGCCACACUGAGAUGUUAGUUCAAGGGUUUUCUGGCACCUGCCUUGGCCCUGGGUAAUGCAUUCUGCACUGUCACCAUCUCAUAGACCUUGGGGUUCCUGGGACCUGAUCAGCUCUGGGUUGCCAUCUCUGCUCCUCAAUGUCUUGGGCUCCUGACUUGUUCCUCCACCCCCCACCCCCAAUGGUGACUGUCUGGCUCUUCCAGAGAUGGAUUCAGAGCAAAACCCUUUUGAGCCCCUGGGGUGUUAUGCUCCCACAUUUCCCUCACUGCAGCCCCUCCGGCACCUGCUUUAGUCUGGCCCUCAGUGGGGGUGGACUAUAUGAAUGUCACCUUGUGGGGGACUGUCAGAUGAAAGAGGGUUUUGAUUAUCCUUAGGGGGAUCCUGGGGUGGAAACCUAGAGAUUUCAGAGAGCCAGAUUCCAGCUCAAUAUUUGGAAGAAACUUGAAUUUAGGAAGAGCAGCUCAAAGCACAGUGGGCUGCUGUGUGGAGCAGUGAGCCGCCCGACACAGGGAAUAUACAAGCAGAAACCAGAACCACUCAGCAGCUGUCAGCAGGAAGCAAGGGUUGUUAAAGAAAUUGCCAUCUUCAAACCCAGCAGCCUCCGCCCUCCCCCACCUCUCUCACAGAACAUAUUGUCAAAUGUACAUAAAUGCUGUUGUGAUUCAUAAGACAGAAGAUUAGUCAAAAAGAUUGAAAACUAAUGUUACUACAAAUUUGCAAUCAAUGGAUACUAAAAAUACAACUAGUGUUAUAUGGGGAUUUGUAAAAUUUUGUGACCUAAAAUGGAUUUCUCAUUCUUGAAAAAAUUGAGAGCUGUAGUUUUUACAAUUUACAAAAGUAAGCCUUCCCGCCAUGAUCUGAAAAUUUGCACCUCCACCUCCAAUGCAGUGAGUGAAACUUACCCCUCAGGAGGUGAUUGACAUUAUGAGGGCAGAGACCCCAAGAGUGAGGUGAGUGCCCUUACAAAAGAGGCCCCAUAGGGCCAUCUUGGCACAGUGAGAAGGUGUCAUCCAUAGCUCAGAAAAUGAAAUGGGCCCUUGGCAGGCGCAUUGCAUUCUCAGGUUCCUGGAUCUUAGACUUCCCAGUCUCCAGAACCAUGAGAAAUAAAUGUCUAUGGUUUACAAGCCACCCCAGUUUCUGGUGUUUUGUUAUUGCAGCUCAAAUAGACUAAGACUCUUCUGGAACCAUUCUUUUUUUUAAAAAAAAAAAAAGACAAAAAAACACAUUUUUUUCUUUAGAGAGAGAGAGAGAGAGAUUUUUUAGUUUUCAUUAGUUUUCAGCGGACACAACAUCUUUGUUUGUAUGUGGUGCUGAGGAUCGAAUCCAGGCCGCACGUAUGCCAGGCGAGCAUGCUACCACUUGAGCCACAUCCCCAGCCCUGGAACCAUUCUUGAUUGGUUGAUCUGAAAUAUAACAUUGUUCCACAAAAGAGAAAAGGGAAAUAAAUAAGCUACUAAUUACAAUGAGAUUUGUGUGUGCAAUUCAUCACUAAGCAAUAGGUUGUUAAAAAUAUGUAAAAAGCAUGGUCCCUGAAAAGAAGGAAAUUGUGUCUAGCAGGUCCAUUGUCACAUAUCUGUCCCUGACAUUAAGACUUUCUUUUUCAAUCCCUUUGGACAGGCCACUCCACUCGAGGGUCACUUGUCGUGUCCUGAACUUUAGACGUGGGCUAUAGUGAAGCACGUCCCGUGGCCGAGCAGCCUGCAGGAGGAGAAAACAUGAAAACAGCAACUCGGCCCUUCAACUCCUCUGAAGAGCCGGAAGGAGCAGGCAGCAGCUCAGACCUGCAGCAAAAGUUCUAGAAUCAUGUUGGAGACAUGGACAGCAAUGGCAUGUGGGAAAAAGAGCACACUAAUGUCACAGGGCUUUUAAUCGUAUUUUUAAGGGUGAAAUUAUAUCACUUGCCUCUUCAGGUGGCAGAAGGAUCCUUGGGCUGCAAGUGCAGGUGACCUGUACUGUGACUCCAUUUGUCUCCAUCAGAGACCGAGUCCUGGCCUCAAGUCCCCAGUGCACUGUUUUAACCAUCUAACCUGGAAUGAGGUAUGGGGAGGCCAGGUGCAGCUCAAGAGAGAAAAACAGAAAAGAAUACCACAGUAUUUUUAAAAAAUACUCAGUUCUUGGGGAGAAUGCAUCCUGCUCUGCAGGGCCGCAUGGGGAAGUGUGUGGGGUGGGUGUGAGGCAGAGAGGAGGAGAGAGAAACUGGGCAGGAGCCCAAGUAUGGUUUCCUAGACAAGGAGCAGGCGAACGAAGCAGGGCGGGCAGGCUCGGGAUUGGCAAGUUCAGAUAAUGCCUGCGGGCCCUGGGGCAUCAGGGUUGCUCUGGCUUUCCAGCACCUGGCCCUGGGGUGGCAGGGACCCGUCAUCACAGCUCCAAGUGGGAGAGGCUGAAAAGAAGAUGGCUGGGGAUAUGGACUCAAUGGGCCCCUAGUAAGGGGUUUGACUGGCCUUCAGUAGUGGCCUCGAGACUGGUCAAGACUACAUUUAUUAACUAUGUCACACAGACCUUGAACCCUCGCAGGCCUUAGCCUCCUGGUGUCUUCCAUGGGAGGAUGAAUGAGAAGGGCCUCACAUUACCUUCAAUUUUGAAGUCACUCACUUUCUGAGGUGAUUCGCAGCAUUGCCAACACACAUUGCUUUCCAGCCGGGCACGCUGGACUCUCAUUUAACGGUAACAGUAAUUUUCAAAAUAUUGCCAGCAUUGUCUUGGAUGCAAACACACCGUGGAACAGAUGGGCAGUGCAAAAUUGCACUUCACACUGUAUUUGAAGCCCUGGUGGACUCAUCUUCCAUCUCCACACUGUUCCCCCAUAAAGUGCAGAUUACAGCUCCAAAAACAGUGCCUCCGGCUUGCCUGGACCCUUCUCCCUUCAGCUCAGCCAUGCUCCCUCCUCUGUGGAAUGCACCGUAAUCUUCCAGGUGGGGAAUCCCAUGGUACAUUCGUCCGUCCCUUCAGUUCACCUCCCACCCUUCAGCAGACGUCGCCUGACAUGUAGUGGCCACCAGGGAAGCCCUGAGAUAUGAGAGCGAGAAGGCACUGCCCGCGCCCCGGGGGAUUCUCCUUCAGGUCUGGGAGCUACUUGUUCCAUCAGACGUGUUAUGGAAAAUGAGAGAGGAAGAGAAACUCAAAAACAUCACUACCACAAUUGUCAACAUGGCCUAUAAGAAUGACCACACAAAUUGCCCCGAAAAUAAAAAUUGGUCAGAAAGUUUUGGCCUUCUCUUAAAACCCUGUGAAGGCCACGAUGUGUGGCUUUUUCUGAGCCUGGUACCCUUGGGCUGCUGCAGCCCGUGGGAUCAUGCUGCUUAGACGUGCUUUUCCCAG